UACGGAGGGGGCUAGCGUUGUCCGAAGUUACUGGGCGUAAAGCGCGCGUAAGCGGGUUGGUAAGUCCGCUGUGAAAGCCCGGAGCUCAACUCCGGAGGGUCGGUGGAUACUGCCAGUCUUGAAGGUGCUAGGGGGAGAUGGAAUUACCGGUGUAGCGGUGAAAUGCGUAGAUAUCGGUAGGAACACCAGUGGCGAAGGCGGUCUCCUGGGGCAUUCUUGACGCUGAGGCGCGAAAGCUGGGGGAGCAAACGGG
rnacentral:rRNA from 1 species